rnacentral:rRNA from 1 species
GACGACCUUUGGCGGCGCGCCUAACACAUGCAAGUCGAACGAGAGAUGAGGAGCUUGCUCUUCAAAUCGAGUGGCGAACGGGUGAGUAACGCGUGAGGAACCUGCCUCAAAGAGGGGGACAACAGUUGGAAACGACUGCUAAUACCGCAUAAGCCCACGGCUCGGCAUCGAGCAGAGGGAAAAGGAGCAAUCCGCUUUGAGAUGGCCUCGCGUCCGAUUAGCUAGUUGGUGAGGUAAUGGCCCACCAAGGCGACGAUCGGUAGCCGGACUGAGAGGUUGAACGGCCACAUUGGGACUGAGACACGGCCCAGACUCCUACGGGAGGCAGCAGUGGGGAAUAUUGCACAAUGGGGGAAACCCUGAUGCAGCGACGCCGCGUGGAGGAAGAAGGUCUUCGGAUUGUAAACUCCUGUUGUUGAGGAAGAUAAUGACGGUACUCAACAAGGAAGUGACGGCUAACUACGUGCCAGCAGCCGCGGUAAAACGUAGGUCACAAGCGUUGUCCGGAAUUACUGGGUGUAAAGGGAGCGCAGGCGGGAGAACAAGUUGGAAGUGAAAUCCAUGGGCUCAACCCAUGAACUGCUUUCAAAACUGUUUUUCUUGAGUAGUGCAGAGGUAGGCGGAAUUCCCGGUGUAGCGGUGGAAUGCGUAGAUAUCGGGAGGAACACCAGUGGCGAAGGCGGCCUACUGGGCACCAACUGACGCUGAGGCUCGAAAGUGUGGGUAGCAAACAGGAUUAGAUACCCUGGUAGUCCACACCGUAAACGAUGAUUACUAGGUGUUGGAGGAUUGACCCCUUCAGUGCCGCAGUUAACACAAUAAGUAAUCCACCUGGGGAGUACGACCGCAAGGUUGAAACUCAAAGGAAUUGACGGGGGCCCGCACAAGCAGUGGAGUAUGUGGUUUAAUUCGACGCAACGCGAAGAACCUUACCAAGUCUUGACAUCCCUUGACGAUGCUGGAAACAGUAUUUCUCUUCGGAGCAAGGAGACAGGUGGUGCAUGGUUGUCGUCAGCUCGUGUCGUGAGAUGUUGGGUUAAGUCCCGCAACGAGCGCAACCCUUAUGGUCAGUUACUACGCAAGAGGACUCUGGCCAGACUGCCGUUGACAAAACGGAGGAAGGUGGGGAUGACGUCAAAUCAUCAUGCCCUUUAUGACUUGGGCUACACACGUACUACAAUGGCGUUAAACAAAGAGAAGCAAGACCGCGAGGUGGAGCAAAACUCAGAAACAACGUCCCAGUUCGGACUGCAGGCUGCAACUCGCCUGCACGAAGUCGGAAUUGCUAGUAAUCGUGGAUCAGCAUGCCACGGUGAAUACGUUCCCGGGCCUUGCACA